rnacentral:tRNA from 1 species
GUUUUAGUAGUUUAUAAAAACAUUGGUCUUGUAAACCAAAAAUAAGAUUUUAUCUUUUAAAACU